UACAGGGGGUGCAAACGUUGCUCGGAAUCAUUGGGCGUAAAGCGCACGUAGGCGGUCUGUUAUGUCGGAUGUGAAAGCCCUUGGCUCAACUGAGGAAGUGCAUCCGAAACUGGCAGGCUAGAGUACUAAAGAGGAUCGCGGAAUUCCCGGUGUAGAGGUGAAAUUCGUAGAUAUCGGGAGGAACACCGGUGGCGAAGGCGGCGAUCUGGGUAGAUACUGACGCUGACAGCGCGAAAGCCAGGGGAGCAAACGGG
rnacentral:rRNA from 1 species